rnacentral:rRNA from 1 species
GAUGAACGCUAGCGGCAGGCUUAACACAUGCAAGUCGAGGGGCAGCACGGAAGUGGUAACACUUUUGGUGACGACCGGCGGACGGGUGCGUAACGCGUAUGCAACCUAACGACAACUUGGGGUUACCGGAUGGAAACGUCCACUAAUACCUGAUCAUAUCAUUGGAGGCGACUUCGGUGGGUGUAAGAAUUUUUGUUGUCGAUGGGCAUGCGUAAGAUGAGUUAGUUGGUGGGGUAACGGCUCACCAAGUGGACGAUGUUUAGGGGGACUGAGAGGUUAACCCGCCACACUGGAACUGAGACACGGUCCAGACGCCUACGGGAGGCAGCAGUGAGGAAUAUUGGUCAACGGGCGAAAGGCUGAACCAGCCAUGCAGCGUGCAGGAAGACGGCUCUAUGAGUUGUAAACUGCUUUUAUACGAGGGUAAUUGCGCGCACGUGUGCGUGUUUGAAAGUAUCGUAUGAAUAAGGAUCGGCUAACUCCGUGCCAGCCGCCGCAGUAA